rnacentral:lncRNA from 1 species
GUUAGUAUGGCCUAGCUGGCUAACACACCCUGUCCCUUACCAACAUGGCUGUCUCUCAGAGGUUAGGAUGGCCUAGCUAGCUAACAUAUCCUGUAUCUUACCAACAUGGCUGUCUCUCAGAGGUUGGUAUCGCCUAGCUAGCUAACACCCUGUCCCUUACCGACAUGGCUGUCUCUCAGAGGUUAGGAUGGCCUAGCUAGCUAACAUAUCCUGUAUCUUACCAACAUGGCUGUCUCUCAGAGAAUGCUACUGGACAGAGACAGACACUCACUGUGCUGCUGCUGGGAACAGAAGAGGAGUUUCCAAGAUCUGACGCAGUAUGUAUUUCCGAGUGUUCACUCUAACGAAGAGAAGAAGAGGUGUGCUGGGAACCUUCCUCCUCUCCUUCCUCUCCCUCCUCCUCCUCUGUCCUACCAGGAAUGGGAUAGGAUCAACCCAGAGGAUUCAGAGGUCCCUAGCCUGGGCCUGGAAGGGCUUGGGCUGAGGACCACACCCUCUGCUGGAAACACAGAAAUAUGUAGCAAGACUCCUGAGCCUUUAUCCAUAGAGGAUGUGUGUCAACGCAACCCUUCAGUGGUAAGAG